AGAGUUUGAUCCUGGCUCAGGACGAACGCUGGCGGCACGCCUAACACAUGCAAGUCGAACGGACGAGGAGGAGCUUGCUUCUCCGAGUUAGUGGCGGACGGGUGAGUAACACGUGAGCAACCUACCCUUGAGAGGGGGAUAGCUUCUGGAAACGGAUGGUAAUACCCCAUAACAUAUAUUUUAGGCAUCUAAGAUAUAUCAAAGAAAUUCGCUCAAGGAUGGGCUCGCGUCUGAUUAGAUAGUUGGUGAGGUAACGGCCCACCAAGGCGACGAUUGGUAGCCGGACUGAGAGGUUGAACGGCCACAUUGGGACUGAGACACGGCCCAGACUCCUACGGGAGGCAGCAGUGGGGGAUAUUGCACAAUGGGGGAAACCCUGAUGCAGCGACGCCGCGUGGAGGAAGAAGGUUUUCGGAUUGUAAACUCCUGUCGUUAGGGACGAUAAUGACGGUACCUAACAAGAAAGCACCGGCUAACUACGUGCCAGCAGCCGCGGUAAAACGUAGGGUGCAAGCGUUGUCCGGAAUUACUGGGUGUAAAGGGAGCGCAGGCGGACCGGCAAGUUGGAAGUGAAAUCCAUGGGCUCAACCCGUGAAUUGCUUUCAAAACUGCUGGCCUUGAGUAGUGCAGAGGUAGGUGGAAUUCCCGGUGUAGCGGUGGAAUGCGUAGAUAUCGGGAGGAACACCAGUGGCGAAGGCGACCUACUGGGCACCAACUGACGCUGAGGCUCGAAAGCAUGGGUAGCAAACAGGAUUAGAUACCCUGGUAGUCCAUGCCGUAAACGAUGAUUACUAGGUGUUGGAGGAUUGACCCCUUCAGUGCCGCAGUUAACACAAUAAGUAAUCCACCUGGGGAGUACGACCGCAAGGUUGAAACUCAAAGGAAUUGACGGGGGCCCGCACAAGCAGUGGAGUAUGUGGUUUAAUUCGAAGCAACGCGAAGAACCUUACCAGGUCUUGACAUCCGACUAACGAAGUAGAGAUACAUCAGGUGCCCUUCGGGGAAAGUCGAGACAGGUGGUGCAUGGUUGUCGUCAGCUCGUGUCGUGAGAUGUUGGGUUAAGUCCCGCAACGAGCGCAACCCUUAUCCUCAGUAGCCAGCAAGUGAAGUUGGGCACUCUGUGGAGACUGCCAGGGAUAACCUGGAGGAAGGUGGGGAUGACGUCAAAUCAUCAUGCCCCUUAUGAUUUGGGCUACACACGUGCUACAAUGGCGUAAACAAAGGGAAGCGAUCACGCGAGUGUGAGCAAAUCUCAAAAAUAACGUCUCAGUUCGGAUUGUAGUCUGCAACUCGACUACAUGAAGCUGGAAUCGCUAGUAAUCGCAGGUCAGCAUACUGCGGUGAAUACGUUCCCGGGUCUUGCACACACCGCCCGUCA
rnacentral:rRNA from 1 species